rnacentral:rRNA from 1 species
GAGUUUGAUCAUGGCUAAGUUAAACGCCGNCGGCAGGCUUAACACNUGCAAGUCGAACGGAUUUGAGUACUUGUANUUAAAUUAGUGGCGAACGGGUGAGUAAUGCCUAGGAAUCUNCCAUUUAGUGGGGGACAACGUUUCGAAAGGAACGNUAAUACCGCAUACGCCCUACGGGGGAAAGAGGGGGACCGCAAGGCCUCUUGCUAAAUGAUGAGCCUAGGUCGGAUUAGCUAGUUGGUGGGGUAAAGGCCUACCAAGGCGACGAUCUGUAGCGGGUCUGAGAGGAUGAUCCGCCACACUGGAACUGAGACACGGUCCAGACUCCUACGGGACGCAGCAGA